GCCAGGUGUGGUGGCGGGCACCUGUAAUCCCAGCAACUUAGGAGGCUGAGGCAGGAGAAUUGCUUGAGCCUGGGAGGCGGAGGCUGCAGUGAGCCUAGACUGUGCCAUUGCACUCCAGCCUGGGUGACAGAGCAAGAUUCUGUCUCAA
rnacentral:SRP_RNA from 1 species